GUGCGAGACCGAUAGCGAACAAGUACCGUGAGGAAAAGAUGAAAAGAACUUUGAAAAGAGAGUUAAAGAGUACCUGAAACUGCUGAAAGGGAACCGAAUCGUUUCCAGUGUCUAUAAUCCAUGGUAUAUUUCAUUGGCGUGUGAGUGCGUGCAGCGUUUUGGAAGCGGUCUCCGCUCCUGUCGUUGUUGUGCAUUUGCUUGCUGGUGCCCUGUGCUGUGGUGGGACGUCAGAGUCAGUUUGUAUGUUGCGGGAAAUGGUUAUCAGGGAGGUAGGUCGCUUCGGUGGCUGCUAUAUCCUGGUAACUAGUCGUCGUGGCUGAGACUGAGGUGCCUACAACGCGCUUUCGAGUCUGCGGGCUUCUCGUGUGGCUGUUUGCUUUGAUAGCUUGCUAUGUUGGUGAAUAAGUCGUGCGAUUGAGACCUGUAGUAACUUGUUGCUGUUCGGGACUUUGA
rnacentral:rRNA from 2 species